rnacentral:rRNA from 1 species
UACGUAGGGCGCAAGCGUUGUCCGGAAUUAUUGGGCGUAAAGCGCGUGUAGGCGGCUUUGCAAGUCGGGUGUGAAAUCCCUCAGCUCAACUGAGGAAGUGCGCCCGAAACUGCAGAGCUUGAGUACCGGAGAGGAUGGUGGAAUUCCCCAAGUAGAGGUGAAAUUCGUAGAUAUGGGGAGGAACACCGGUGGCGAAGGCGACCAUCUGGACGGAUACUGACGCUGAGACGCGAAAGCGUGGGGAGCAAACAGG